CCUUCGGGACAGGUGCUGCAUGGCUGUCGUCAGCUCGUGUCGUGAGAUGUUGAGUUAAGUCCGCAACGAGCGCAACCCCCCCUGUGUUGCCAGCAUUAAGUGGGGACUCACAGGGGACUGCCGGUGACAAACCGGAGGAAGGUUGGAGACGUCAAGUCAUCAUGGCCCUUACCCAGGGCUAGAAACGUGCUACAAUGGCCGGUACAAUGGGCUCGAUACCCGAGGCGGAGCGAAUCCAUCAAAGCCGGUCUAAGUUCGGAUUGGAGUCUGCAACUCGCUCCAUGAAGGCGGAGUGCUAGUAAUCGCUGAUCAGCAUGC
rnacentral:rRNA from 1 species